rnacentral:tRNA from 1 species
UGGGACAUAGCAUAAGUUAAAUGUAUUUCGCUUACGUCGGAAUGAUGGUUUUAUUAAAACUUGUCUUAA